rnacentral:rRNA from 1 species
CCUACGGGGGGCGGCAGUGAGGAAUAUUGCACAAUGGAGGAAACUCUGAUGCAGCAACGCCGCGGAGGAUGACGCAUUUCGGUGUGUAAACUCCUUUUAUAUGUCAAGAAAAUGACGGUAGCAUAUGAAUAAGCACCGGCUAACUCCGUGCCAGCAGCCCCGGUC